rnacentral:rRNA from 1 species
UACAGAGGUGGCAAGCGUUGUUCGGAAUUACUGGGCGUAAAGGGCGCGUAGGCGGUCUUGCAAGUCCUGUGUGAAAUCCCUCGGCUCAACUGCGGAACUGCACAGGAAACUGCUUGGCUUGAGUUCGGGAGAGGGAAGCGGAAUUCCGGGUGUAGCGGUGAAAUGCGUAGAUAUCCGGAGGAACACCGGUGGCGAAGGCGGCUUCCUGGACCGACACUGACGCUGAGGCGCGAAAGCUAGGGGAGCAAACGGG